rnacentral:rRNA from 1 species
AGCAGCCGCGGUAAUUCCAGCUCCAAUAGCGUAUAUUAAAGUUGCUGCAGUUAAAAAGCUCGUAGUUGAAUUUCGGGACUAAUAUGUCGGUCGUGCCUCGGUACGUACUGGUAUUUUUGGUUUCUCCCUUCUGACGAACCUUGAUGUCAUUAAUUUGGUGUCUUGGGAAAUCAGGACUGUUACUUUGAAAAAAUUAGAGUGUUUAAAGCAGGCUUACGCUUGAAUACAUUAGCAUGGAAUAAUGAAAUAGGACGUUUGAUUCUAUUUUGUUGGUUUCUAGGAUUGACGUAAUGAUUAAUAGGGAUAGUUGGGGGCAUUAGUAUUCAAUUGUCAGAGGUGAAAUUCUUGGAUUUAUUGAAGACUAACUACUGCGAAAGCAUUUGCCAAGGAUGUUUUCAUUAAUCAAGAACGAAAGUUAGGGGAUCGAAGACGAUCAGAUACCGUCGUAGUCUUAACCAUAAACUAUGCCGACUAGGGAUCGGAUGAUGUUAAUUUUUAAUUGACUCAUUCGGCGCCUUAC